rnacentral:lncRNA from 1 species
ACUACCUGUUUGGGGUACAGCCUGACGAGGAGGUGGUUAACCCCUGGGAGUGUAAGGACAAGUUCCAGGUGGACUGGUGUCCAGAGACCAACGCUGAGCUGGAGGCUAUGGUCAAGGCGGAGGAGAUCCACUGCCUGAUGGAGGGCAACAAGAACAUGCCUGCCAUCUGGGUCAUCUCAGACGGACGUGAGCCACGGCCCCCACGCACGGGCCCCAGGGUCGCCUUCGGCAGGAUGAGCUAGCUACAAAGGGGCAGACACACAGACUCAGACUGCUAGGGACAAGGCAGGGUACAGCAACGUGGCAGAUGCACUGUAAACUGUAAGCCAAAAGAGAUAUACUGUGUUGUAAUCAUGUACUCAUUACUGCAUUACACAAUAAUCUCCACAUGCUGGCAGCAUGCCAAGAGCUUCAUAAGUGACCAGUCCUUGUUGUAUUGUUAGUGUUUAGACUAGGCCCUAGACCUCCUUUUGACCAUAUGAAGAGGAAAUGCUUUCAGGACUUUCAACUGUGAGCUAUGUUGUUGAACACGUUUAUUCCGUAUGGUUUCCAAUUUUAAACCAUUUCUCUCACAAAUACUCUUGUUUUCUAUUUAUUGCACAUUUAUUUUAUACAAUAUUACACAUUUGCAUGCUAUCCAGUUAACACAUGGCAUGAUCGUUACUGAAAGCUGGUUUCAGGAACAAAUGAAAAGUCAUGAGUUUGGAGUGGACACACCUUUCAGGCAAUAAAAUCUGCUGGUAUCAUUGGCAACAUGGUGCAAUCUGGUUGCUCUCUGUGCUGUAUACUGCACUUUGACCUCACAGGACGUUACCAGUCCAGAAGGAGUAUCGUGACAGUGAACAGGUUCUACACAACACCAACCUCAGAGGCCUCCUGGGAUAAACAAGGAUUCAUAAUGUCUCUCCACAAAACUUUCCAGGUCUGCUUAUUACUGGCUGUUUGUGUUAACCAGGCCCAGAGUGGUUUGCCAAACGGAGGCUUACGGCUCACUACAUCCAAGGGUGGGACCCUGCAGCCUUGGCUUGUUGGUCUGGCUGCUGUAGUGGGAUUCCUCUUCAUCGUCUUCGUCAUCCUUAUUGUACAAAGGCUUUUCUUCAAGAAGGAAAAAGAGGAAGAUGGUGGUUGGUAUGAGAACACAGCUGUAGGAAUGGAAGCUGGAGAGGCCAGUGAGGUUAAACAAACCAGCCUAUAGAGAGACCAGCGAACAAACCAUCCAGGGAGGGGAAACGCUCAGACACCAGUUUCCACGCCAUAUUGGGUUUCUUACUUCUCCUUCUCCUGCACAUGUAUUUCUUUCAACUCUAUGAUUGGCAUAUCCUAUGUUUGUGCAAUUAAACAAAUUAAGAAAAUAUAGAUAUUGUCCUCAAUUUUGCCUGUUUACUGUGCAAACAAGAUCAUUCUGAACAGGAUCUGUUUUAUUGUUGGCAAAACUGUUUGUUGUGCAGUCACAGUGUUGGCUGUAUUAUACUGUAAUGAAAGACAUGUUGAUGGUAACAAUAAUGAUUUUGUCUCAUUUAGUAACCAAUGCUUUUACAGUGUUAUUGUAACAGAAACUAGUGAUUUUACUUAUACUACCACUAGAUGGAACUGGAUUCUCUUUUUCCAUUUAGAACUCACUAGACCUACAGUACUACACAAAUUGUUUAGGGGAGAGUGGAGUAAGUUGAGCCAUAGGGGUAAAUUGAGCCACCCUUGUUUCUAGGAAACCAUACACAAUUAAUCAUUUGACCAAAUAUUUAGGAAGAGGUCAUCAUGUCACGGAGUCUGUGAAGGAAGAAACAAGAGUGGUAAGCAAGUCAGGUCCAACAAAACUGAUUUUCACCAAGUCAAAUGAAUUUAUUGUGUUAGAGGUUUCAUGAUGUAUCUAAACCAAAGCAGAUAAUUUUAAGAUUGUUCUAUUUCAGUCGGGGUCUCUAUAAGCUUAACUGUGAGAUCCUAAAUCUAGCAUGAAAGUGCAUCCUUGGAGCUGUGUGGGCUAAUAUAGUCAAAAUGUUUGCCAUGGGGUAAGUUGAGCCAAUGGAUGAGCCAAUGGAUGAGCCAAUGGAUGAGCCAAUGGAUGAGCCAAUGGAUGAGCCAAUGGAUGAGCCAAUGGACGAGCCAAUGGCAAGUUUAAUAAAUUCCCAGGCAUUAUCGCUGGGAUAUGAGGUAACAACAUGCCUAUGUUAAAAAAAAGAAGUUUUUUUAAGUACAAACUUUAAAACAAGCGAUUGUGUUGAAUUGUAUUUGGGAAAUAAAGAUAGACAUGGUUUUAAAAAGGUAGUGGAAAUAUUUCAUUCAGUACAGAAAAAUGUAGGCGGCUUAAUUUUCCUGGGCUAAGUUGUGCCAAGAGACCUCUUUUUUUGGACAAGCUAUGUUUUCAAAAUUGUAAUGUUUACAUGAAUUCUGAUUGUUUUUAGGGAUAAACAACAUCCUGAAAUAUAUGUAGAUAUCUUUGUUAGAAAUAAUACUAUAUUUCCUUUGACAGUGUCAUGCUGAAUGUAAAAAAUGGCUCAGUUUACCCCACUCUCCCCUAGUCAAUUUUAAAUUGAGAGUAAAGAAAGUGUAAA